rnacentral:rRNA from 1 species
GGUUAAGCGACUAAGCGUACACGGUGGAUGCCCUGGCAGUCAGAGGCGAUGAAGGACGUGCUAAUCUGCGAAAAGCGCCGGCGAGGUGAUAUGAACCUUUGACCCGGCGAUGUCCGAAUGGGGAAACCCAGUGCAAUUCGUUGCACUAUCGUUAACUGAAUACAUAGGUUAACGAGGCGAACCGGGGAACUGAAACAUCUAAGUACCCCGAGGAAAAGAAAUCAACCGAGAUUCCCCCAGUAGCGGCGAGCGAACGGGGAGCAGCCCAGAGUCUGAAUCAGCUUGUGUGUUAGUGGAACGGUCUGGAAAGUCCGACGGUACAGGGUGAUAGUCCCGUACACGAAAUGCACAUGCUGUGAACUCGAAGAGUAGGGCGGGACACGUGGUAUCCUGUCUGAAUAUGGGGGGACCAUCCUCCAAGGCUAAAUACUCCUGACUGACCGAUAGUGAACCAGUACCGUGAGGGAAAGGCGAAAAGAACCCCGGCGAGGGGAGUGAAAAAGAACCUGAAACCGUGUACGUACAAGCAGUGGGAGCCUCUUCGGGGUGACUGCGUACCUUUUGUAUAAUGGGUCAGCGACUUAUAUUCUGUAGCAAGGUUAACCGUAUAGGGGAGCCGAAGGGAAACCGAGUCUUAACUGGGCGUUAAGUUGCAGGGUAUAGACCCGAAACCCGGUGAUCUAGCCAUGGGCAGGUUGAAGGUUGGGUAACACUAACUGGAGGACCGAACCGACUAAUGUUGAAAAAUUAGCGGAUGACCUGUGGCUGGGGGUGAAAGGCCAAUCAAACCGGGAGAUAGCUGGUUCUCCCCGAAAGCUAUUUAGGUAGCGCCUCGUGAAUUCAUCUUCGGGGGUAGAGCACUGUUUCGGCUAGGGGGCCAUCCCGGCUUACCAACCCGAUGCAAACUACGAAUACCGAAGAAUGUUAUCACGGGAGACACACGGCGGGUGCUAACGUCCGUCGUGAAGAGGGAAACAACCCAGACCGCCAGCUAAGGUCCCAAAGUCAUGGUUAAGUGGGAAACGAUGUGGGAAGGCACAGACAGCCAGGAUGUUGGCUUAGAAGCAGCCAUCAUUUAAAGAAAGCGUAAUAGCUCACUGGUCGAGUCGGCCUGCGCGGAAGAUGUAACGGGGCUAAACCAUGCACCGAAGCUGCGGCAGCGACACUAUGCGUUGUUGGGUAGGGGAGCGUUCUGUAAGCCUGCGAAGGUGUGCUGUGAGGCAUGCUGGAGGUAUCAGAAGUGCGAAUGCUGACAUAAGUAACGAUAAAGCGGGUGAAAAGCCCGCUCGCCGGAAGACCAAGGGUUCCUGUCCAACGUUAAUCGGGGCAGGGUGAGUCGACCCCUAAGGCGAGGCCGAAAGGCGUAGUCGAUGGGAAACAGGUUAAUAUUCCUGUACUUGGUGUUACUGCGAAGGGGGGACGGAGAAGGCUAUGUCAGCCGGGCGACGGUUGUCCCGGUUUAAGCAUGUAGGCGGGGGAUCCAGGCAAAUCCGGUAUAAUCAACGCUGAGGUGUGAUGACGAGGCACUACGGUGCUGAAGUGAUAAAUGCCCUGCUUCCAGGAAAAGCCUCUAAGCAUCAGGUAACAUCAAAUCGUACCCCAAACCGACACAGGUGGUCAGGUAGAGAAUACCAAGGCGCUUGAGAGAACUCGGGUGAAGGAACUAGGCAAAAUGGUGCCGUAACUUCGGGAGAAGGCACGCUGAUGUGUAGGUGAAGUCCCUGCGGACGGAGCUGAAAUCAGUCGAAGAUACCAGCUGGCUGCAACUGUUUAUUAAAAACACAGCACUGUGCAAACACGAAAGUGGACGUAUACGGUGUGACGCCUGCCCGGUGCCGGAAGGUUAAUUGAUGGGGUUAUCCGCAAGGCGAAGCUCUUGAUCGAAGCCCCGGUAAACGGCGGCCGUAACUAUAACGGUCCUAAGGUAGCGAAAUUCCUUGUCGGGUAAGUUCCGACCUGCACGAAUGGCGUAAUGAUGGCCAGGCUGUCUCCACCCGAGACUCAGUGAAAUUGAACUCGCUGUGAAGAUGCAGUGUACCCGCGGCAAGACGGAAAGACCCCGUGAACCUUUACUAUAGCUUGACACUGAACACUGAGCCUUGAUGUGUAGGAUAGGUGGGAGGCUUUGAAGCGUGGACGCCAGUCUGCGUGGAGCCAACCUUGAAAUACCACCCUUUAAUGUCUGAUGUUCUAACGUUGACCCCUUAUCGGGGUUGCGGACAGUGUCUGGUGGGUAGUUUGACUGGGGCGGUCUCCUCCCAAAGCGUAACGGAGGAGCACGAAGGUUGGCUAAUCCUGGUCGGACAUCAGGAGGUUAGUGCAAUGGCAUAAGCUAGCUUGACUGCGAGCGUGACGGCGCGAGCAGGUGCGAAAGCAGGUCAUAGUGAUCCGGUGGUUCUGAAUGGAAGGGCCAUCGCUCAACGGAUAAAAGGUACUCCGGGGAUAACAGGCUGAUACCGCCCAAGAGUUCAUAUCGACGGCGGUGUUUGGCACCUCGAUGUCGGCUCAUCACAUCCUGGGGCUGAAGUAGGUCCCAAGGGUAUGGCUGUUCGCCAUUUAAAGUGGUACGCGAGCUGGGUUUAGAACGUCGUGAGACAGUUCGGUCCCUAUCUGCCGUGGGCGCUGGAGAAUUGAGGGGGCUGCUCCUAGUACGAGAGGACCGGAGUGGACGCAUCACUGGUGUUCGGGUUGUCAUGCCAAUGGCACUGCCCGGUAGCUAAAUGCGGAAGAGAUAAGUGCUGAAAGCAUCUAAGCACGAAACUUGCCCCGAGAUGAGUUCUCCCUGAGACUUUAAGUCUCCUGAAGGAACGUUGAAGACGACGACGUUGAUAGGCCGGGUGUGUAAGCGCAGCGAUGCGUUGAGCUAACCGGUACUAAUGAACCGUGAGGCUUAACCUU